GUGCCAGAGUGCAAAUCUGGAGAAGCACAUAAGGUGCCGGGGCUU
rnacentral:tRNA from 1 species